rnacentral:rRNA from 1 species
UACGUAGGGUGCAAGCGUUGUCCGGAAUUAUUGGGCGUAAAGAGCUCGUAGGCGGUUUGUCGCGUCUGCUGUGAAAACCCGAGGCUCAACCUCGGGCCUGCAGUGGGUACGGGCAGACUAGAGUGCGGUAGGGGAGAUUGGAAUUCCUGGUGUAGCGGUGGAAUGCGCAGAUAUCAGGAGACACCAAUGGCGAAGGCAGAUCUCUGGGCCGUAACUGACGCUGAGGAGCGAAAGCAUGGGGAGCGAACAGG